GGCUCAAACUUGAAGUAUAGUAGUUUAGUGGGGUUAGCCGAUCCUACUAAUCUACUCUACUUGAAAUUUAGGCCC
rfam:Haemonchus contortus, ISE/inbred ISE, WGS project CAVP01000000 data, contig: Hcontortus_404